rnacentral:misc_RNA from 1 species
AACCUAGCACACCUGCGGUGUGUACCUGCGGAAGGAUCAUUACCGAGUUUACAACUCCCAAACCCCUGUGAACAUACCUAUAUGUUGCCUCGGCGGAUCAGCCCGCGCCCCGUAAAACGGGACGGCCCGCCGCAGGAUCCACAAACUCUGUUUUUAUUGUAACUUCUGAGUAACAAAACAAAUAAAUCAAAACUUUCAACAACGGAUCU